ACACCACUACAUAGAAGACGAGACAGUCGAACACAUCCUCAACGACUGCAGGGUGCUCAGAAACGAGUUUGAAGAUACGACUAGUCUUGUAAUCGAUAGUAUUUAAUUUUUUUCAAACUUCGACCUUGACGGCCUUACGUUACGUGAAAGACCACAAUCUAAUUAUUCAGAAAGACCUAAAGAUGGAGGCGAGCUUCUUACCUAAUGCCAGUAGAACAUGGAUUGAGUUGCUUGAGUCAGCCAGAAAAACAAAUAACUUAGUACUAGUAGAGUUUAAGUCUAUAGUAAACAUGCGCGCCUUGAUUAAAACAUGGGUCCAUCAGUAUCUUCUUUAGCAAAGGAACGUGUAACUUAUUUUUUUUUUUUUUUUAACUUAUAAUGUAGGACAACCGGUUUGAGGUACCGGAAACAAAUAAAGAAAUUUAAAAAAUUGCUUUAAAGGUUUAAUUUAGGGAAAAAAA